ensembl:snoRNA
UUUUUCUCUGUUGGCUGGUGCAAUUCAGUGGUGAGCUGAUAGUAAACUCCAGCUUAGGAAACAGGGUUGUUCUUCACAUGGAUGACUGUGCCGAGAGCAUGGGAAUAUCU